UGAGAAGAAGAUGGGCAA
rnacentral:misc_RNA from 1 species